UCCCAGAUAAAGCUGUAAGAGAGCCGGGUUGAAGCUGGGAACUGCUUCUGAAACAUUCUGCCCUCCACAGCUACCAUGAGGUGGACCCGAGCCAAUCCGAAGGGCACGCUGGACUGGGUCAAGAUGACCUUCAGAACAGAUGUGAUGCGGAAUGACUCACCUGUGUCUCAGGAAUGAUGGGGCUGGCCUCGGGGCUGGAGCAGUAGAAGGUGGAGAGUGGUGACGCCGUGAUUCGGGGCGAGGGUCUGUCAAGGCCACUGAAUUCACAGGGUAUGUGUGCCCCCUGGAGCUACCAGAAAGCUGACGCGCUGAUAGAAGCCCUGAGCGUCUAGAGAAGAGCAAAGGGUUUCCAUGGCGACAUCACACCCCACCCCUCUCCAUCCCGACUGGCAGAGGCAGUGCCAUCCGUUCUGGUCUAGAAUGCACCUGCCGUUGUUGUUACACAGCCCUGGACAGCUAUCUACCGGGACAAAUUCAUCAGUUAUACAUACCGACCAAUCAUCAGCCUACGAUGUGUCAAAGGGGUGAAGAACUCACCAUAAAGAACUGUAUAAACAUACAGGGGAAAACACGGUGAAUGUGUUUCAGUCAGUCAAACAUUUGGAACUUGACAUUUUAAAGACAUUGGACAGGACUCAGGGACAGCUGUAAUUUCACAUGAAACAGCUGGACAAAAUAAGUGCUGCUUGAGUAUUGUAAAAAAAAAAAAAAAUUCUGCUCUCCAUUUCUAGGAGAAUAGAUUAUUAAAUUCAGCUAAAUACCAGCUAGACAAAAUGUUAAAAAAGGAAAAAGAAGGAAAAAAUACAUGAAAUAAAAUAUUUAUGUGAAAUCUCAGCAGUUUAUAAAGUUAAAAGAACAUUCUUAUGAAAAAUACUAGCAAAUUACACAUCUAGCAGUGUCCAUGUGAAUUAACAGCAUGCUGAGCUGAACAGCACAAGUGCAGAGAGAGUUUAUCAGACGGUAUACUGAAGUGCUCCAUCAUAUCCUUUGUCACAGAAAAGUGUGAAGUCAAAGGAAAUUACAGAGGAAAUGCUAAAUUAAGGAGCUUAGCAGCUGCUAAAUAUUACGUUAUGAGACAGUGAGAUGUACAACAAUGGGGAUUUGGGUAAUGCAAAUGUGUAUAUGUGCAUGGACUGACUGAUGAUUUUGUGUGUGUCUUUGUAUGCCUACAGUUACACUGUAUAAAACAGGAAACCUGAAACCGAACACAUGUGGGGACACAUUAAUACACGGUACAUAGACAUAAUGAAAGUCAUGCUUGAGAGACAGAGGGGUCAGAGCCACAUGCUCUCUUCAGGGCAGCAUGACCUUUACCUCUAUAUCCUAUCCAGUCUGCUAUCAUGAAGAGACAUUCAGGGAAAAGAAUUAAACAUGGGGUGUUAUACUGCGGUAUGCAGUGAUUUAGUGUCAUUUUUACAGACAGCCCAGGCAGCCUCUGCUGGAUACACACACCUAAUAUGCUGCGGCUUACCCUCUCCUCAGUAAAUAUGACAUUUUGUGAUAUUUGCAUUGUACCGUUGAAGAGCUCGAUUAGAAGAAGACUCGAAUGCUUUUGAAAUUAGCUUUUUUCCCUUUCUUUUUUUUUUUUUACAAAGCAAGGUCUACAUCAGUGAAUCUGCUUUUUCGAUUUUAUAAACGUUUGCAUUCAAUGAAAAUAUUAUUAAGAAGGAAUUUAAUAAAACAAUAAUUAAAUAAGAGAUACACUUUUAUUACGGACAUCACACAGAAAGCAGAACAUGGUUGAUGAAAGCACUGUACCUUUUAUUUUGCUGUCCAAAAAGUGAGCUGGAGUAAUAAAAUGAAGCAAAGGGAAAGAAUAAAA